rnacentral:pre_miRNA from 14 species
AUUCAAGACACAAACCUGGAGGUGAAAGACCCCCCAGAGAGGGGAGACCCUUACUCAAGUCUUGGGAUGACAUGAACCCCCAAGAACUCACAUGAGACC